rnacentral:rRNA from 1 species
AGGACGAACGCUGGCGGCGUGCUUAACACAUGCAAGUCGAGCGGUAAGGCUCCUUCGGGAGUACACAGGCGGCGAACGGGUGAGUAACACGUGAGCAAUCUGCCCUUCACAUCGGAAUAAGCCCGGGAAACUGGGUCUAAUACCGGAUACGACUCCACGAGGCAUCUCUUGGAGUGGAAAGUUCUGGCGGUGAAGGAUGAGCUCGCGGCCUAUCAGCUAGUUGGUGGGGCAAUGGCCUACCAAGGCAACGACGGGUAGCCGGCCUGAGAGGGUGACCGGCCACACUGGGACUGAGACACGGCCCAGACUCCUACGGGAGGCAGCAGUGGGGAAUAUUGGACAAUGGGCGAAAGCCUGAUCCAGCAACGCCGCGUGAGGGAUGACGGCCUUCGGGUUGUAAACCUCUUUCUAGCAGGGACGAAGCGAAGUGACGGUACCUGCAGAAGAAGCACCGGCCAACUACGUGCCAGCAGCCGC